UACGUAGGGUCCGAGCGUUGUCCGGAAUUAUUGGGCGUAAAGGGCUCGUAGGCGGUCUGUCGCGUCGGGAGUGAAAACUUACAGCUUAACUGUGAGCGUGCUUCCGAUACGGGCAGACUUGAGGUAUUCAGGGGAGAACGGAAUUCCUGGUGUAGCGGUGAAAUGCGCAGAUAUCAGGAGGAACACCGGUGGCGAAGGCGGUUCUCUGGGAAUAUCCUGACGCUGAGGAGCGAAAGCAUGGGGAGCGAACAGG
rnacentral:rRNA from 1 species